rnacentral:rRNA from 1 species
GUGCAGCAGUCGCGAAACUUUACAAUGUGCGAAAGCACGAUAAGGGAACUCUGAGUGCCUCCUAAGGAGGCUGUUCAGGUGUCUAAAAGCACCUGGAGUAAGGGCUGGGUAAGACCGGUGCCAGCCGCCGCGGUAACACCGGCAGCCCAGGUGGUAGCCACUUUUAUUGGGUCUAAAGCGUCCGUAGCCGGUUGAGUAAGUUCCUUGGGAAAUUUGGCUGCUCAACAGUCAAGCUUCCAGGGAAUACUGCUCGACUUGGGACUGGGAGAGGUCAGAGGUACUCCAGGGGUAGGGUGAAAUCCAUUAAUCCCUGGGGGACCACCGGUAGCGAAGGCGUCUGACCAGACCAGGUCCGACGGUGAGGGACGAGGGGCUAGGGUCGCGAACCGGAUUAGAUACCCCGGUAGU